GCCAGUGUGGUGUAGUGGUUUGAGCGUUGGACUGUGACUCUGGAGACCAGGGUUCGAAUCCCUGCUUGUCC
rnacentral:tRNA from 1 species